CACACUGGGAGUUGCAGGCACCUAGGCACUCUGAGAGCAGAGAUGACAUAGAUGGACACAGAGUCCAAGUCAGGCCCACUAAACAUCCGGUGAAAACUAAACAUCUGGCAAAGCACAGAGGAGACAGGAAGACACGAAGAUACACUCAGGAGUGCAGACAUCAAAGCCACAUUCUGGCCAUGCAAACACACUCAGGGACACACUGGCUGAGACUGAAAGCCAGGCUUAUGUACACACACGUACACUAAGGUGCUUAGAUACACAAGUAUACACACACAGCACCAACAUCCCUGAUGACCGUGUGUGCAAAGCACCGUCGGGUCCCGGAGAAUGCAGAACUCUUCCUCCCAGCCUCACACGUGGCCGGCCUCCAUGGGAGGGACGGGAGCAAGGUUCUUACCAGGAUUUCGCCCAGCUCGUCCUCAUCGCAGUCAGCAGGCUCCUUCCCCAGGCGCGCUCUGGUUGGCUACACAGAGACACAGAUGUGUCACGAGAAAGAGCUUCGCAUGUGGGACAAGGUGACGGCGGUGCGUCCACCCCGUGUGAGCUAGAGGAAGGUGCUGUCAAGAGCUUGUGCUUUCACCCUGGGAAGGCCCUGGCGGCCUCUGAUCUGGAGACAAAUGACCGUGUGCAUGGCCUGCUGACUUUCCCACCUGUCCUCUCUCGGGCACUGCCUUACGCAGUCCUCAGGUAUAAUGAUGGGACUCUCUCAUGAUGACCAGGAGGGCUCUGGCCAUGCAAGGCCCCUGGCUGGGGAGAUUGAGCACAGGGAAGGGAUGCCAGGGCCGUGCAGACAGAGGGACCUCGGGGGCAUGCCAGGGCUGUACUCAGCUCUGGCCCCAGGGCCGUGUCCCCACCACACAGAGAGAGCUGUGACCCCUGGGUAACCUGGCCGCCCACUGCACAGAGGGAGCCGUGACCCCUGGGUGACCUGCCCCACACAGCUGUGACCCCUGGGUGACCUGCCCCCACCGCACAGCCAUGACCCCUGGCCGAGACCCCUGGGUGACCCCUGGACGACCUGCCCCUGCCACACAGCCGUGACCCCUGGGUGACCCCUGGACGUCCUGCCCCGCCGCACCAGGAUGAGCUGGAUCUCGUCCCUGUCGCACUUCACGUGGUAAAGGACCAUGUCCUGUGCGAUGUCCUUGCGGUUCUCCAGCUUGUUCAUCUUGUCGUAGGUGUCGGUGUUCAUCACUGACCAGCCCAGGAACUGUGUCAGGGACUGGAGGGGAUGGCAGUGUCACUGGCGCUCAG
rnacentral:lncRNA from 1 species